GGGACCUGUGGGGAGGUCUCUGGGUGAGGGGGCGCCGGGCGUAGGGAUCUGUGGGGAGGUCUCUGGGCGAGGGGGCGCUGGGCGUAGGGAUCUGUGGGGAGGUCUCUGGGCGAGGGGGCGCCGGGCGUAGGGAUCUGUGGGGAGGUCUCUGGGCGAGGGGGCGCUGGGCGUAGGGAUCUGUGGAGAGGUCUCUGGGCGAGGGGGCGCCGGGCGUAGGGAUCUGUGGGGAGGUCUCUGGGCGAGGGGGUGUCGGGCGUAGGGAUCUGUGGGGAGGUCUCUGGGUGAGGGGGUGUCGGGCGUAGGGAUCUGUGGGGAGGUCUCUGGGCGAGGGGGCGCCGGGUGUAGGGAUCUGUGGGGAGGUCUCUGGGCGAGGGGGUGUCGGGCGUAGGGAUCUGUGGGGAGGUCUCUGGGCGAGGGGGCACUGGGCGUAGGGAUCUGUGGGGAGGUCUCUGGGCGAGGGGGCGCUGGGCGUAGGGAUCUGUGGGGAGGUCUCUGGGCGAGGGGGCGCCGGGCGUAGGGAUCUGUGGGGAGGUCUCUGGGCGAGGGGGUGCCGGGCGUAGGGAUCUGUGGGGAGGUCUCUGGGUGAGGGGGCGCUGGGCGUAGGGAUCUGUGGGGAGGUCUCUGGGCGAGGGGGUGCUGGGCGUAGGGAUCUGUGGGGAGGUCUCUGGGUGAGGGGGUGUCGGGCGUAGGGAUCUGUGGGGAGGUCUCUGGGCGAGGGGGCGCCGGGUGUAGGGAUCUGUGGGGAGGUCUCUGGGCGAGGGGGUGUCGGGCGUAGGGAUCUGUGGGGAGGUCUCUGGGCGAGGGGGCGCUGGGCGUAGGGAUCUGUGGGGAGGUCUCUGGGCGAGGGGGCGCCGGGCGUAGGGAUCUGUGGGGAGGUCUCUGGGCGAGGGGGCGCCGGGCGUAGGGAUCUGUGGGGAGGUCUCUGGGCGAGGGGGCGCUGGGCGUAGGGAUCUGUGGGGAGGUCUCUGGGCGAGGGGGCGCCGGGCGUAGGGAUCUGUGGGGAGGUCUCUGGGCGAGGGGGUGCCGGGCGUAGGGAUCUGUGGGGAGGUCUCUGGGUGAGGGGGCGCCGGGCGUAGGGAUCUGUGGGGAGGUCUCUGGGCGAGGGGGCGCUGGGCGUAGGGAUCUGUGGGGAGGUCUCUGGGCGAGGGGGCGCCGGGCGUAGGGAUCUGUGGGGAGGUCUCUGGGCGAGGGGGUGCCGGGCGUAGGGAUCUGUGGGGGGGAUCACUGGGCGAGGGGGUGUCGGGCGUAGGGAUCUGU